rnacentral:misc_RNA from 1 species
AUUUUCAUUUGAAAGUUGCAGUCAUCUUAGGAUGUGCAAAUAAUCCAAAUUAAAAGAUAGGAAAAAAUUCUAAUUAACCCUAUAGUUUUGGUGUGAUUUCAAUACUGAUCUCAUCAUUCAUACCAUUUCAAAUGUCAACCAAACAUAAUUUUAUUUUUUCCUAUUCGAUAUAUUAUUGAUUCUCGGUGUGUGAACCUAACACAAAGCUUAUGUCAACACAUGCAAGUUAUAUUUCAAAACAAAAAACAACUUUCUAAUCAACGCACCGCAUCACCCCUUGAUUUAUUUCCCUCACUUUCCCCUUAUCGCCUUUUCGUUAACCCCAUGAUAUAUUUUAACCAAUGUAAGUCCAAUUAUUUCUUCAAACUUUUGUAUGUAGUCCCUAUAAUACCAUUUGGUACAAUCAAGUUCUUGAACAAUAAAAUGUUAAGCAAGUAAUAUCUUUCAAUCACACCAAGAGGUAAUGUUGAGUGAAAACUUAGAUGACAUCGGACAUUUCCUUUUUAUGCAGAUGUAGUACAGCAACCACACAAAUUAAGGUAAUCAAACCUAGCUCAACCCAUUUAAUGCAUUGACCAAUGGGACAAAUAAUAUUGAGACUCACAAAACCAAUUUAAUAUAAU